rnacentral:rRNA from 1 species
AUUGAACGCUGGCGGCAUGCUUUACACAUGCAAGUCGAACGGUAACAGGCCGCAAGGUGCUGACGAGUGGCGAACGGGUGAGCAAUGCAUCGGAACGUGCCCAGUCGUGGGGGAUAACGCAGCGAAAGCUGCGCUAAUACCGCAUACGAUCUAUGGAUGAAAGCGGGGGACCGUAAGGCCUCGCGCGAUUGGAGCGGCCGAUGUCAGAUUAGGUAGUUGGUGGGGUAAAGGCUCACCAAGCCAACGAUCUGUAGCUGGUCUGAGAGGACGACCAGCCACACUGGGACUGAGACACGGCCCAGACUCCUACGGGAGGCAGCAGUGGGGAAUUUUGGACAAUGGGCGCAAGCCUGAUCCAGCAAUGCCGCGUGCAGGAAGAAGGCCUUCGGGUUGUAAACUGCUUUUGUACGGAACGAAACGGUCCUGGUUAAUACCCGGGGCUAAUGACGGUACCGUAAGAAUAAGCACCGGCUAACUACGUGCCAGCCGCCGCUGUAAAAC